GAGGAGACUUUUGUCUCACCUCAGCCGCAGCAUGGCCGACUGCGCCCAACAACCCGCCCAGGCUGGUGGGGGGAAGCGCAAAAAUAGGGCCCAGUACGUACAGGCCAAGCGAGCUCGGCGCUGCGACGGCGGCGGGCCCAGGCAGUUGGAGCCCGGGUUACAGGGCAUCCUCAUCACGUGCAACAUGAACGAGCGCAAGUGCGUGGAGGAGGCCUACAGCCUGCUCAACGAGUACGGCGACGACAUGUAUGGGCCAGAAAAGUUUACAGACAAGGAUCUGCAGCCCUCUGGCAGUGAGGGAGAUGACGAUGACGCAGAGGCUGCUCUGAAGAAAGAAGUUGGUGACCUUAAGGCGUCUACGGAGAUGAGGCUGAGAAGAUUCCAGUCAGUGGAAAGUGGAGCAAAUAACGUAGUGUUCAUCAGGACACUCGGGAUAGAACCUGAGAAAUUAGUGCAUCAUAUUCUCCAGGAUAUGUAUAAAACUAAGAAGAAAAAAACCCGAGUCAUCUUGCGAAUGUUACCCAUCUCGGGCACAUGCAAAGCUUUCUUGGAAGAUAUGAAAAAAUAUGCGGAAACAUUCCUGGAACCUUGGUUUAAAGCUCCAAACAAAGGGACAUUUCAAAUUGUAUACAAAUCUCGAAAUAAUAGUCAUGUCAAUAGAGAAGAAGUUAUCAAAGAAUUAGCAGGAGUCGUGGGGAGCCUCAAUUCGGAAAAUAAAGUGGAUCUCACGAAUCCACAGUACACCGUGGUAGUAGAAAUCAUCAAAGCUGUCUGUUGCUUGAGUGUUGUGAAAGAUUACAUACUAUUCAGAAAGUACAAUCUCCAGGAGGUGGUGAAGAGCGCCAAGGACCCAUCCCAGCUCCACACAAAGCAAGGAAAUGGGAAAGAAGUAAAACUGGAAUCUGAUGACAGGUUGAAUCAGAAUGAUCCAGCAGCUAGGGAAGAUAACCAGCAGGGCGUGGCAGACAGUAGUGAGGAGCCCAGGCAGACAAAUCCGACCUCAGAGACUCAGGUGGCACAAGAGGGAGGAACUAAACCUGAAUCUGCCAGUCAAAUCACAGAUGGACCCAAGUCAGAUACAACUGAUGUCUCAUAGGAGGUAACUGGUUGUUGGUGGUACGGUUUUCAGUGAGUUCCAGGCAAAUUGUCAACUGCAAAUGUUUUUGACCUUUGUGUGCUGCAUAAUGCUAUUCUUAAAAGUAUUGAUCUCAUGCAGGAAGCCCUGUAAUAGUAAUAGAUCUUUCAGUCCUACAUGGCAGCGUGUUAAGAUCCACAACUGCUGCAAGGAGGGUACUUGCUACCAAUAGGAGGAUGACUUUGGCUUCUCCUUCAUGAUUACCUCCCAGCUUCCCCUUUGACACUGCCAGCUGACCCAGGGGAGUUGACAAGCUUGCUGAAAUGAAAGAAUCUUAGGAAAAUUUAUUCACUCUAAAGAAGCAAUUUUUAUGUUUUUGUGUACUCUUAUUCGUGUUGUAGAAGCAUAGAUUGGGUGGGUUAGAAAUGAUUUAUUUGGUGUUUUUGUAUUUGCGUUUUUCUUGUUAGCUCUAUUUUUAAUAUUUUAACAUUUCUUUGUAUAAAAAACUCCCGACAGUUCAUUGCUGCAGUUUUUGAAGGCAAGAUGUGAGGUGGAAGAGGACGAUCUUAGGCAUAGACCUACAGACAUUGCUGAUAAGACACAUGAAGAGUUAUGGAUUGCAAAUGUCAGGGAUCGUCUUUGAAUGAAGUUUGGAUGCAAUUAUAAAAACUUACCAGUGUUUCUGCAGAUGUACCUGCCAACUUUAUAGAAGUACAAAUACUUAAUUUCAUUUUGGAAACUGCCAUCUGGAGUCCUGAACCGUCUGAGGCACUCAGACUUGCUAGAUGCCUGUACUAAACACACCUGUUUCACUGUGGGUGACAUUUUUUCCAGCUUCAGAUAAUAAAGUUAUUUUUUACCACAAUUUAAGCCAAAAUAAAUUAUGCUAUUUUAAAUGA